CCUUAGUUACCAGCACGUUAUGGUGGGCACUCUAAGGAGACUGCCGGUGCAAACCGGAGGAAAGGUGGGGAUGACGUCAAGUCAUCAUGGCCCUUACGGCCUGGGCUACACACGUGCUACAAUGGUCGGUACAAAGGGUUGCCAAGCCGCGAGGUGGAGCUAAUCCCAUAAAACCGAUCGUAGUCCGGAUCGCAGUCUGCAACUCGACUGCGUGAAGUCGGAAUCGCUAGUAAUCGUGAAUCAGAAUGUCACGGUGAAUACGUUCCCGGGCCUU
rnacentral:rRNA from 1 species